rnacentral:misc_RNA from 1 species
AACAAGGCGUACCUGCGGACCUGCGGAAGGAUCAUUACCGAGUUUACAACUCCCAAACCCAUGUGAACAUACCUAUCGUUGCUUCGGCGGAUCGCCCCGGGCGCCUUGCGUGCCCCGGAUCCAGGCGGCCGCCGGGGGACCUUAACUCUUGUUUUUACUGAGAAUCUUCUGAGUCGUUUUUACAAAUAAAUAAAAACUUUCAACAAUGGAUCU